UACGGAGGGAGCUAGCGUUGUUCGGAAUUACUGGGCGUAAAGCGCGCGUAGGCGGCUUUGUAAGUUAGAGGUGAAAGCCCGGGGCUCAACCCCGGAAUUGCCUUUAAGACUGCAUCGCUUGAAUCCGGGAGAGGUGAGUGGAAUUCCGAGUGUAGAGGUGAAAUUCGUAGAUAUUGGGAAGAACACCGGUGGCGAAGGCGGCUCUCUGGACCGAGACUGACGCUGAGGCGCGAAAGCGUGGGGAGCAAACAGG
rnacentral:rRNA from 1 species